rnacentral:misc_RNA from 1 species
AAAGAAGUCGUCUGGUAUUGAAAGAUCAAGUUUUAGACAGAAUCGGCUUGGUAAACCACAUUUUUGUAUUGAAAUGAUCCAUGAACAGAGGAUCGACAGAAGCGAAGCUAGAAUCACACCAUCAGAAGUAGGUCCAAGCAUUCCUCUUUGGGGUAGGUGGGCGGUAAAGGUAUAACACUAAGAUUUACUCGUUCGAUAAAAAAGAUCAAAGUUAUGGCCAUGCCUCUGAGAUAGCAAAAUAGCCCGGACAUUCAUUCAUUUAGUGCAGUUACGAUGUCAUUGCCUAGAUUUUCCUACUCAUUUAUGGUUUGAUCACAUAAGUCAAUAGCUCGGGAACGAAG